rnacentral:tRNA from 1 species
GCCGGGAUUCCCUAGCCUGGUAAGGGGCAGAUUCGAUGAGCCUGUGGCCUUUUUAGGCCUCGUGGGUUCAAAUCCCACUCCCGGCG